GACGAACGCUGGCGGCGUGCUUAACACAUGCAAGUCGAACGGUGAAGCGCCUUCCUUUUUGGUGGGUGUGGAUGAGUGGCGAACGGGUGAGUAACACGUGAGUAACCUGCUCCCUUCUUCUGGAUAACCGCAUGAAAGUGUGGCUAAUACGGGAUAUUCUGGGUCUGUCGCAUGAUGGGUCUGGGAAAGAUAUUGUUUCGGUGGGGGAUGGGCUCGCGGCCUAUCAGCUUGUUGGUGGGGUGAUGGCCUACCAAGGCGGUGACGGGUAGCCGGCCUGAGAGGGUGGACGAUCACACUAGGACUGAGACACGGCCCAGACUCCUACGGGAGGCAGCAGUGGGGAAUAUUGCACAAUGGGCGCAAGCCUGAUGCAGCGACGCCGCGUGAGGGAUGGAGGCCUUCGGGUUGUGAACCUCUUUCGCCAGUGAAGCAGGCCUGCCUCGUUUGUGGGUGGGUUGACGGUAGCUGGAUAAGAAGCGCCGGCUAACUACGUG
rnacentral:rRNA from 1 species